GAUUAAAUGGCCUCCAGACCCCACUGAGGUUGUAAUAUUCUCUCAGUCUCUAUCUCAAAGGCAUGUAAAUAAGCCAUUUGGGGGAUUUGCAUUGUUUUCUUUAUAACUGUAAUGCAGAAAUUGAGAUAUUGGGUUUAUCUCAGCAUGGUUAAAAGUCGAGAAAUAUCAAGCUUAUGUUGAGAAUCUCCUUAGUGAAUCAAAGCAUUUACCAAGGCUCUUCUUCAACACUUUUCAUCUUCUAAGGUCUCAGGGAUAAAAAUUUAGUGUACAUUAGCAAAGCUUAUACUCUUACAAUGUCAUUGUCUGUGGCAUUUAUUCUCAUAUCACAGGUGACAUGCUGAUAUGUACAUGCAUUAUGCAUGUAUAUUGAUGAUCUCAAGUUUUCCCAUAUAUUAAAAAUAGCAACAAUAAAAGGAACAGAAAAGAAAUUAAUGAUAGUAUCCUCUGCUCUCUUUGAAAACAGAUGAGAUUACAAAGCUCCAGUAAAGAGAAGUUGCCUAAAGCCACCUAAGUAAUUAAAAGGAAGCAAAACCUUGAAAAUGGAGGAGUAUAGCAGCUAUUAUUUGGACCUUUUGUUUGUUUCUUUCCUCUGACUGCUCCAUAGGAUGUAGAUAUUGUAGGCAUGAACAUCUGAUAUUGAGACUUACUGACUUCUCUUCAGCCAGACUUUGUUUACAUCACGAUUGAGUCUGCUUUUAAUCAAGCCAGCAAUAUGUCAAUGCCCAAUCCAAUGGAAAUUGGUGGUUUUCAUCUUGACCCAUAGGAUUGGGAAUGUUGUUUAAACAAAGGAAAUGGAUAAAAUGACAGAGCAGUGGUGGCCUCCUCAGCGUAACACACUUUGUAUUGUUUGACUUCUUUUGAUCCAUCUAACGCUCAUACAUCUCAACUGUACUGUUGUGUGGGUAUUUCACUCAUUUUCACUCACAGGGUGAAAAACAAAAAUGCUGAUUAGAAGAAAAGUAUGUUCAUGACCUUGAAGUGGGCAGAUAGUUGUUAAACACGGAUGAAAUGCAAUGCCAUGCUAAGA
rnacentral:lncRNA from 1 species